rnacentral:tRNA from 1 species
GGUGACUCAGUGAUAGAGUGCUUGCCUGGCAUGCAUGAGGACCUGGGUUCGAUUCCUCAGCACCA